CAAUAGCGUAUAUUAAAGUUGUUGCGGUUAAAAAGCUCGUAGUUGGAUUUCGGGGUGGCCUGCCUGGUCCACCGCAAGGUGAGUACUGGUCAGCCGCCCUUCCUCUCGAAAGCCCCGACUGCUCUUCAUUGCAGUGGUCGGGUAGUUCGGGACGUUUACUUUGAAAAAAUUAGAGUGUUCAAGGCAGGCUCUCGCCUGAAUACAUUAGCAUGGAAUAAUGGAAGAGGACCUCGGUCCUAUUUUGUUGGUUUCUAGGGCCGAAGUAAUGAUUAAGAGGGACAGUUGGGGGCAUUCGUAUUUAAUUGUCGGAGGUGAAAUUCUUGGAUUUAUGAAAGACGAACUAGUGCGAAAGCAUUUGCCAAGGAUGUUUUCAUUAA
rnacentral:rRNA from 1 species